AACGCUAGCUACAGGCUUAACACAUGCAAGUCGAGGGGCAGCAUGGUCUUAGCUUGCUAAGGCCGAUGGCGACCGGCGCACGGGUGAGUAACACGUAUCCAACCUGCCGUCUACUCUUGGACAGCCUUCUGAAAGGAAGAUUAAUACAAGAUGGCAUCAUGAGUCCGCAUGUUCACAUGAUUAAAGGUAUUCCGGUAGACGAUGGGGAUGCGUUCCAUUAGAUAGUAGGCGGGGUAACGGCCCACCUAGUCUUCGAUGGAUAGGGGUUCUGAGAGGAAGGUCCCCCACAUUGGAACUGAGACACGGUCCAAACUCCUACGGGAGGCAGCAGUGAGGAAUAUUGGUCAAUGGGCGAGAGCCUGAACCAGCCAAGUAGCGUGAAGGAUGACUGCCCUAUGGGUUGUAAACUUCUUUUAUAAAGGAAUAAAGUCGGGUAUGGAUACCCGUUUGCAUGUACUUUAUGAAUAAGGAUCGGCUAACUCCGUGCCAGCAGCCGCGGUAAUACGGAGGAUCCGAGCGUUAUCCGGAUUUAUUGGGUUUAAAGGGAGCGUAGAUGGAUGUUUAAGUCAGUUGUGAAAGUUUGCGGCUCAACCGUAAAAUUGCAGUUGAUACUGGAUAUCUUGAGUGCAGUUGAGGCAGGCGGAAUUCGUGGUGUAGCGGUGAAAUGCUUAGAUAUCACGAAGAACUCCGAUU
rnacentral:rRNA from 1 species